UAAUAAUGCGGGUGCUAUACAUGCAAGUCGAGCGAACAGACGAGGAGCUUGCUCCUCUGACGUUAGCGGCGGACGGGUGAGUAACACGUGGAUAACCUACCUAUAAGACUGGGAUAACUUCGGGAAACCGGAGCUAAUACCGGAUAAUAUAUUGAACCGCAUGGUUCAAUAGUGAAAGACGGUUUUGCUGUCACUUAUAGAUGGAUCCGCGCCGCAUUAGCUAGUUGGUAAGGUAACGGCUUACCAAGGCAACGAUGCGUAGCCGACCUGAGAGGGUGAUCGGCCACACUGGAACUGAGACACGGUCCAGACUCCUACGGGAGGCAGCAGUAGGGAAUCUUCCGCAAUGGGCGAAAGCCUGACGGAGCAACGCCGCGUGAGUGAUGAAGGUCUUCGGAUCGUAAAACUCUGUUAUUAGGGAAGAACAAAUGUGUAAGUAACUAUGCACGUCUUGACGGUACCUAAUCAGAAAGCCACGGCUAACUACGUGCCAGCAGCCGCGGUAAUACGUAGGUGGCAAGCGUUAUCCGGAAUUAUUGGGCGUAAAGCGCGCGUAGGCGGUUUUUUAAGUCUGAUGUGAAAGCCCACGGCUCAACCGUGGAGGGUCAUUGGAAACUGGAAAACUUGAGUGCAGAAGAGGAAAGUGGAAUUCCAUGUGUAGCGGUGAAAUGCGCAUAAA
rnacentral:rRNA from 1 species